UACGAAGGGGGCUAGCGUUGUUCGGAAUUACUGGGCGUAAAGGGCUCGUAGGCGGCCAACUAAGUCGGAUGUGAAAUCCCCGGGCUCAACCUGGGAACUGCAUCCGAUACUGGAUGGCUUGAAUUCGGGAGAGGGAUGCAGAAUUCCAGGUGUAGCGGUGAAAUGCGUAGAUAUCUGGAGGAAUACCGGUGGCGAAGGCGGCAUCCUGGACCGACAUUGACGCUGAUGAGCGAAAGCUAGGGGAGCAAACGGG
rnacentral:rRNA from 1 species